rnacentral:rRNA from 1 species
AACGUAGGACGCAAGCGUUAUCCGGAGUUACUGGGCGUAAAGGGCGUGUAGGCGGCGCUGCAAGUUCGUCGUGAAAGACCCCGGCUCAACCGGGGGAGGUCGAGGGAGACUGCGGCGCUGGAGGACGGUAGAGGGACAGGGAAUUCCGGGUGUAGUGGUGAAAUGCGUAGAGAUCCGGAGGAACACCAGUGGCGAAGGCGCUGUCCUGGGCCGUUGCUGACGCUGAGACGCGACAGCAUGGGGAGCGAACGGG